GACGUAGGGGGCGAGCGUUGUCCGGAUUUAUUGGGCGUAAAGAGCGCGUAGGCGGCCCGGAAAGUCGGAUGUGAAAACCCGGGGCUCAACCCCGGGCCUGCAUCCGAUACUCCCGGGCUGGAGGCAGGUAGGGGAGAUUGGAAUUCCGUGGUGUAGCGGUGAAAUGCGCAGAUAUCAGGAGGAACACCGGUGGCGAAGGCGGAUCUCUGGGCCUGUCCUGACGCUGAGGCGCGAAAGCUAGGGGAGCGAACAGG
rnacentral:rRNA from 1 species